rnacentral:sRNA from 1 species
AAUUUCAGAGCCAGAAAGAUCCUUAAAAAGGCAGUGUACUCCAACUUCCUCUGAAGCUUGUGUCCUACGUACAGAAUUCCCAACCACUCUGCUUGAAUGUCUCCAAAGAGGAAAAAAUUUAGAAGAGAAGACAAGGAAAAUUAAUCACAAGAUAGGCAAUGAAUAGGCAAGUGAAUGCUGAUAAUGCCAAGCUGUGUUUACAGUCCAAAUUUUUGCUAAAUACCUUCAACUUUGCACUCUCCCUGUGUGGUAUCUCUUGCCCAAGACAGAACUUCAAAUAAAAUCACAUAGGAGCUGAUGCAA